rnacentral:piRNA from 1 species
UGAAAAGUGCAACACCUGCAGCUGACA